CACAUCAUACUGAAACACCGGUUGCUGUACGAUCACCGAAGUUAAGCAAAGCCGACUCUGGUCAGUACUUAGAUGGCUGACCGCUUGGGAAUAUCAGUGCUGUAAG